AAUAACCCGCUGGCCCGCCAAAAGCCAGUUGUCCCUGUGCUAACUCUUCUGACACGUUCUGCUAAAAACACCAAAAGUCAGAAGAAU